GUCGCCUUUUGUUCCAAUCCCUGUCUUCUCUCUGGAAGCAGAGAAGAAACAGAUAAAACAAGUGGGGCUCAUGAACACAUCCUGGAAGUGUUGACACAGUGGACAAACGGUGCUCUUCUUUGAAAUGAAAAUGGCAGUAGGAUCAGUAAAGACUAUUUCGGAAUAACAAUGCAGAGAUACAACAGACGGUUGCUGUACAAAGCAGCUGCCUUGCUAACGACAGCAGCUCGAGGAGAAAGCAUGAAAAAUCGGCAGAUGUGAGAACAACAACAAAAAAAAAGGGCGGCUUUUUGUGUCCGAGGAAAACCUGUACAAUAUCUAGUGAGGACGUGCUGGUUGUGCGGGACACUGCACCCAGCAGAAAUUGCGCCCCACCCGAUGUAACUGAACAAUACGCCAUAUGAACUACUGGGGUCUGAGGGUUUCAUGAAUCUUACAUCGGCCAUAACUAUGAUUCAACUGGACAGCAAUACACUAAGGGACAUUGUUGUUGAAGCCGAUGCCCUGGUUUCUUUCAAGAAAGGGCCGGAUAAGUCCUCGGAUCAAUUAACUCUUAUUUGGUAACCUUUCUUAUGCUUUUCCUUUCAUAUUUAAGUUUUAUUUUCACCAAAUACAGCCAAAAAGUGUUUCUUUUGCAGACUUAAAUCCUUGGAAUACUUAUCCUUCGACUCAGGCAGCAAACCUUCAGAUUGUCAGCCCCACAGACAGACUCCACAGCUGAGUGAAUGUGAAGCCCCUGUUCCUCAGUCUGCUUCAGGCACUUGAGCUUUCAUCGGAGAGGGCUUGAAAGUGCAGAAUGAAAGCAGGAAGGGCCCUUCGUGCUGUCAAGAGAACAAACUUUGCAUCAAGUGCCCGUACAAACACUGAUUCUGUUUGGACCAAAUUGUAUUAGAAAAAAUAAAAUGAGAUAAGGGAAAAAAAUACUCAUAAAAUUUUCACUGAAAAAAAAGAUAUAAAAUGGCUUGGUAACAUUUAUGUUAGCUGUCAUUCAUGUAGAUAUUCUUCAUUUGGUAACGUGUGUGUGUACACUACUCUGUACAGUAUUAAAAUUCUCUUCAGCA